ACAACAUAUUUUCUCUCAUUUUUUAUGUUUCUUCGUUUUCUUUUUUCUUCAGGCUCGAAAGAUCAAGAAGCUCCUCCACACCAGCUAACAACGAAUCAAAGAUAAUGCGGUGAGCGUGGAUCGAACACGCGGCCUUCAGAUCCAGUCUGACGCUCUCCCAAACUGAGCUUGGAUGGUUUUAGACAAUAACUUCAAUAUGAUUAAGUUAAAAUGUAAAAGCUUACCUCUACAAUGAGAGUUUGGGGGCUCCGGCGAUCUCGAUCAAACCACUACAGCGGC
rnacentral:lncRNA from 1 species